CUUUAAUAUUCCUAAACAGAGACAUUUUUUAUGGUGACAUAUAGAGCAAAGUACAUUAUACCGAGCCAUGAGAAUUCCAAGAAACUGCCAACCUGAAAAGAAAUCUUCCAAAGAGCGACAAGGCUAAGAAAUAUUCUCCAAUUUCACUAGCAUUAUUUACUUUUGAUUUCAGGAUUCUUGGAAGUAUCAUUUUCUUUGCAUGUCUGGUAACAGAAUUCAGAAGAUAAUCCUAAAACUCAGUUUUUCCUGUGGAACUUAAACAGAAUGCAUCCAGAAACUUGAGAUGUCACGUCCCUCUCUACCCUGAAGGACCUCAGCGUCACCUAUGCUGCUCUCCCUCUAUUCCACAGACCCAGAGUUCCAAAGGUGAGCACCAACUUUCCUGCAAAAGCUUCCUUUUACCAACUCAUGCCUCUAUUCGAUCUGUGCUUAGGAUUAUGUUGAGGGAAUGAUUUAAACUUGGAAGUGUGUAUGAGGGAAGAUCCUGGGAAGGUUAAGGCAAAAAAAUACUCCAAGGGUAAGGAAUAAAGGGACCAAAAUGUGGAUAAAGGGUCA
rnacentral:lncRNA from 12 species